ensembl:lncRNA
AAUUAGUAAAGGAACCAUUGCGCUAUCACCGAACAACAGGAUUGGAUUGGUAAACACAAUUUCCUGCAUUUAGUUGAGCACCAUUCUCGUGAUUUGGUCCGAGCCCCUGUCUGUCAGGCCCGGUGGACCCCUUCCCCUUGGAAGUGUCUUUCAGCCCAGUGUCAGUCAGAAUGGGACAAUAGCCGCAGUCGCCAUCGGACCUCCCCCUUUCUCUCUUUGCUCUCUGUCUGCCCCGUCCCCACACCCCUUAACACUCGCACAUAUAUAUAUAUAUAUAUACACACACACAUACAUACACAUACAUACACACAGACCCAGCCAGACCCUGACCACUCCCACUGUACUGGUUUUGGUCCACUCCCUCUUCCUACCGCUCUAGGCAGCCAGCCUUGUGAAGCCAAAUGAAACCAUAAUCCCCUGUAAAAGAUAGAGGCCUAUACAGCUGCCUAUCCUCCCUUUGUUGUUGGUGGCUUUUUGUUUAGAGGGCCCCCAUGAGAGUAGCGGCUAGAGAACACAAGGCAGCACAACAGCACCCAGUCAGCCGUUUUACUGGAAACAAACGAGCUGUGGUGGUGGUUGGGACACUGAUGGAAUUCUAAUAGCAUGAUGUUGGGCUGGCAUAGCCACCACACGCCAUCAAUGAACCAGAGGGCCACCAGCAGACUUUGGAGAUUGACACAUCUCAACUUGUGGUGGGACAAGAGGUUGAAAUAAAAACAUAUUUAUUCAGGAUAUUUUUUUGCCUCCUUUUUUUGCUUCUCCAGUGAUCAGCUAAACCAAAGUGCCUUUCUUGGUUUCUCACUGUGCUUUUACUAUAAACUUGAUCUAACUUCAUAUUACACUCCAAUAUCUGAAAAUAAUAUCUAUAAAGAAACAUUAAGGAUUUUGCACUUUUCAUUCAUACACCUCCGUACCCAUUGCCUGUUGCACUUGUCAUAUCAUACAGUUGCACAGUACUGACAGUGCACACGUGUUUACAGUAAAAACAUACACCCCUGUACCAACUUGACAAUCCCACCCCGUAUUUCACCCAACCACAGCGUUCCUCUAGUGUCGGUUGCUAAGACUAACAAAGCCAAACAUAUCACCAAACCGCUCUCCAAGGUCCUUU